rnacentral:rRNA from 1 species
UACGUAGGGGGCAAGCGUUGUCCGGAAUCAUUGGGCGUAAAGAGCGCGUAGGCGGCCCUGUAAGUCCGCUGUGAAAGUCAAGGGCUCAACCCUUGAAUGCCGGUGGAUACUGCAGGGCUAGAGUCCGGAAGAGGCGAGUGGAAUUCCUGGUGUAGCGGUGAAAUGCGCAGAUAUCAGGAGGAACAUCGAUGGCGAAGGCAGCACUCUGGGACGUGACUGACGCUGAGACGCGAAAGCGUGGGGAGCAAACAGG